ACCUGCUAUAUGACAAAGGAACGGACAAGGAAUGAGUGAAGCACAAUAAAAUACAGUUAUGGUUUUCCUAUUCUAUACUUCAAUGACCAUCUUCCAUUUCCACAUUGAAGCUCCCUUCAUCGAAAUGAUCUUUGAUAAUGCCGCGGAGAUACUCUAACUGCUCAAACCCUCCUUUGAGCUCUUCCCAUUCCUGAUGAGGGACAGAUACGAGCUUCCAACCAGCAGCAGUGAUAAAUCUCCGCUUUAGCAUUGUAUGUCCCAAGGGGGAUCCUGUGUUCCUUGAGAAAUGAGUAGUGCCAUCUAUCUCAAGAGCAACUCUUUUGUCAAUGACCGCUGCGUCCAGGGUAUAACCAUCCACGGCAUGUUCUCUUACCCAGUCUAGCCCAGUGCUAACAAGAAGGCGAGCAAUCUCCUUCUGAAAUGACGAAGUAACCUUCUGAUUGAACCGUUUUG
rnacentral:misc_RNA from 1 species